UACGUAGGAGGCGAGCGUUGUCCGGAGUUACUGGGCGUAAAGGGUGCGCAGGCGGCGUCACGCGUGGAUAGUUGAAAUCUCCUGGCUUACCUGGGAGGGUGGUAUCCAGACGGUGGCGCUUGAGGGUCGGAGAGGGGCGUGGAAUUCCGGGUGGAGCGGUGAAAUGCGUAGAGAUCCGGAAGAACACCCGUGGCUAAGGCGGCUCUCUAGUACGGUACUGACGCUGAGACGCGAAAGCGUGGGGAGCGAACAGG
rnacentral:rRNA from 1 species